AGCGAUUCCCCUGUCUCAGCCUCCUGAGUAGCUGGGACUACAGGGUCCUCAGCAAGACCGAGCCACCGUCACCCACAGCAGUAACAUACUUGUGAGCACACCGCCACACACACAUUUGUGCUUCCUGGGGUCACUUCCCAAAUAAACUACUGGCACCCAAA